UCCUGACCCUAAACUAUGCCAACUGUCAAUCCGCCAGUGGCUUCCAGUUAUUGGCGGGCGGACCGACGGAAACGAAAGUUUUUCGGUUCCGGGGGAAGUAUGGUUGCAAAGCUGAAACUUAAAGGAAUUGACGGAAGGGCACCACCAGGAGUGGAGCUUGCGGCUUAAUUUGACUCAACACGGGAAACCUCACCCGGCCAGUACAUCAUAAGGAUUGACAGAUUGAAAGCUCUUUCAUGAUUUGAUGAAUGGUGGUGCAUGGCCGUUCUUAGUUCGUGGCGUGAGUCGUCUGCUUAAUUGCGAUAACGAGCGAGACUCCCACUGUUAGCUAGUGGUCGUUUUGUUUGAAUGAUCCACUUCCUAACUGGAUUCGAGGCUUCAAGUCUCAAGAAAUGGAGCAAUAACAGGUCUGUGAUGCCCUUAGAUGUUCGGGGCCGCACGCGUGCUACAAUGAUGGUAACAGCGUGAUUGUCCUCGCCCGACAGGGCUUGGCAAACAGUUGAGAUAUUAGUUAUGGCUGGAAUUGAGUGUUGAAAUUUUCUCUCAUGAACGAGGAAUUCCAAGUAAAUGCGAGUCAUCAACUUGCA
rnacentral:rRNA from 1 species